rnacentral:rRNA from 1 species
GAUGAACGCUGGCGGCGUGCCUAAUACAUGCAAGUCGAGCGAACAGACGAGGAGCUUGCUCCUCUGACGUUAGCGGCGGACGGGUGAGUAACACGUGGAUAACCUACCUAUAAGACUGGGAUAACUUCGGGAAACCGGAGCUAAUACCGGAUAAUAUAUUGAACCGCAUGGUUCAAUAGUGAAAGACGGUUUUGCUGUCACUUAUAGAUGGAUCCGCGCCGCAUUAGCUAGUUGGUAAGGUAACGGCUUACCAAGGCAACGAUGCGUAGCCGACCUGAGAGGGUGAUCGGCCACACUGGAACUGAGACACGGUCCAGACUCCUACGGGAGGCAGCAGUAGGGAAUCUUCCGCAAUGGGCGAAAGCUUGACGGAGCAACGCCGCGUGAGUGAUGAAGGUCUUCGGAUCGUAAAACUCUGUUAUUAGGGAAGAGCAAAUGUGUAAGUAACUAUGCACGUCUUGACGGUACCUAAUCAGAAAGCCACGGCUAACUACGUG